CCUACGGGUGGCAGCAGUGAGGAAUAUUGGUCAAUGGUCGGGAGACUGAACCAGCCAAGCCGCGUGAGGGAUGAAGGUACAGAGUAUCGUAAACCUCUUUUGUCAGGGAACAAAGGCGGGGACGCGUCCCCGGAUGAGUGUACCCGAAGAAAAAGCAUCGGCUAACUCCGUGUCAGCAGCCGCGGUAAUACGGAGGAUGCGAGCGUUAGCCGGAUUUAUUGGGUUAAAAGGGUGCGCAGGCGGACGGUCAAGUCAGCGGUAAAAGCCCGGGGCUCAACCCCGGCCCGCCGUUGAAACUGGCAGUCUCGAGUGGGAGAGAAGUAUGCGGAAUGCGCGGUGUAGCGGUGAAAUGCAUAGAUAUCGCGCAGAACUCCGAUUGCGAAGGCAGCAUGCCGGCUCCACACUGACGCUGAGGCACGAAAGCGUGGGUAUCGAACAGGAUUAGAUACCCGUGUAGUC
rnacentral:rRNA from 1 species